GCCUACAGCCUGACCAUACUGAUUGCAUCUGAUCUCAGAAGCUAAGCAGGCCCAGGCCCAGUACCUGGAUGGGAGACGGCCUGGGAGUCCUGGGUGCUGUAGGCU
rfam:Alligator sinensis unplaced genomic scaffold scaffold216_1, whole genome shotgun sequence